AGGCCUUCACUCUCCGCCUGCAUCUCCUCAUCUCUUUUCUCCUCAGUCUGAGGAGACUGGCUUUCCCCUCCCCGACUCCACCUUCCUGGGCAAGCCCCGACCUGUGAUUCAACUCAACUCGGGUGCUCCCGCCUGUGGGAACAUAUCCGCUCAGCAGACAAUAGAACAUUGUUGGGAAGAACAAGAGCUUUGGGGAAUCAUUCUAGCCUAGAGUUCCCACUUUCUGAGAGACAGAAACCAUGAGAAAUAGAAAGUGCUGAGAACUUGAACUCUGCUAUUUCAGGGUGGAGCAGGACAUACCAUUCCACUCUGUGAAGAAGACUUGCUGACUUUUUGUAGCUGAGAAAACACUGGAGUCCUGUGUGAUUGGUGGGGCAAAUCUUACGGCUUAUGAGGGAAAUUCUGUUUCCUUUACUCUCCUUAAUUGUUUUCAAACUCAGCUCAGAAACUCGCAGCAACGAUCCGCGAUGAGAUCCCAUGGUUGCUUUCUUUUCCCCUUAUAUUUGGCCUUUCUUUGAAAACACUGUCUUUUUUUUUUUCCAAACUUUAAACUUUUUAUUUUGUACUGGGAUAUCCCCCAUGGCUCAACUUGUAAAGAACUUGACUGCCAACGCAGGAGAUGUGGGAGAUCUCCUGAGACACAGGUUUGAUUCCUGAAUUGGGAAGAUUCCCUGGAGAAGGAAAUAGCAGUAUUCUUGCCUGGAAAAUUCCAUGGACAGAGGAGCCUGGCAGAUUACAGUCCUUGGGGUCACACAUGCACACCCACAGCGGAUUAAUGUUGUGGUGGUUUCAGGAGAACAGCGAAGGGACUCAGCCAUACAUGGACAUGUAUCCAUUCUCCCCCAAACCCCGCUCCCAUCCAGGCUGACAAGUCACACUGAGUGGAGUUCCAUGUGCUAUGCAAUAGGUCCUUGUUGGUUAUCCAUCUUGAAUAUAGCAGUGUGUAUAUGACCUUCCCAAACUCCCUGCCAAUGUUUUCAAAAUAAGGUUUCCGUGGGAUUUUUACCUGCUUUUCUUUUUCUUUCUUUCUUCCUUUCUUCAUUCCUUCAUUUCUUCCUUUCUUAGGUUUU